rnacentral:tRNA from 1 species
GGUCCCUUAGCUCAAUUGGUAGAGCAAUUGACUCUUAAUCAAUAGGUUGUAGGUUCGAGUCCUACAGGGAUCA